rnacentral:lncRNA from 1 species
AGCGAGUCCAGUCCGUGGCUGCUGACUCUUUACAGCACUCUACUUGGAGUCUGUAAGCCGCCCGGACUUUCAGCCGGACUGACAAGUGGAGUAUCUGUGUCAGUGUACGUUACUCAUCCGUCGUUGGGUCAGGGUCUGCGGGAUGGACCCCCGCAAUGUACAGUGAAACAGCUGCCUCGUUCACCCCUGCAAGAGAAGAGAGGUUUAUUUGGUGGAGAAAUUGAACUAGAGGCUCCAUACUGAAGGACACCCAAAGCAUAGCAGGAGAGCAAGAGAGGCUGGCACUAAAAUAGAGCUAUCCACUUAUUCCAGUUCAGUGUUGAAGAUGGCUGGAGCCCAUCCCAGUAGCUCAGGGCAGAAGGCAGGAACCAACCCUGGAGACCAUCAAGCUUCAGAUGAUCAGGCAACAAAGGCUCCAGCCAGUUGCAGGUGAAGACAGCACCCCUGGCCUUCAAGGAGCUACCCUGCCUUCUCUAGACAGAGCAGGACGAGAGUUCCAUGAUCCCCAUCAGACGUGCCUUGCUUCCCCUCACCUACCACCAUGAUUUAAGUUUCCCGAGACCUCUUCAGCCAUGUGGAACUAAGCCGUAGGGGAUUGUUCUCCAGUCUUGACUUUGAGAACUUGGUAGAGCUCCUGAAGGCUCACCUGAUAAGAGAUGUAUGUCACAAUCUGCUCACCCUGGCAUUUCUCUAAAUAGAAGGUCCUCUCUUGCUCGUUUCUUCUCUCAUCCCAC